GUCUGAAUGGUCUAGUGGUAUGAUUCUUGCUUAGGGUUUCCGAACCCCGGUAAACUACUGGCCUGCAAGAGGUCCCGCGUUCGACUCGCGGUUCAGACC